AACGAACGCUGUCGGCAGGCUUAAUACAUGCAAGUCGAGCGCCUGUAGCAAUACAGGAGCGGCGCACGGGUGCGUAACACGUGGGAAUAUGCCUUUUGGUACGGAACAACCACUGGAAACGGUGGCUAAUACCGUAUGGUCCCUCCGGGGUAAAGAUUUAUCGCCAAAAGAGUAGCCCGCGGCAGAUUAGCUAGUUGGUGAGGUAAUGGCUCACCAAGGCGACGAUCUGUAGCUGGUCUGAGAGGACGAUCAGCCACACUGGGACUGAGACACGGCCCAGACUCCUACGGGAGGCAGCAGUAGGGAAUAUUGGACAAUGGGGGAAACCCGUGAUCCAGCCAUGCCGCGUGAGUGAUGAAGGCCUCGGGUUGGUUAAAGGACUCUUUUAUUCCACGAAGAUAAUAGACUGUAGUGGAAGAAUAAGACCCGGCUAACUUCGUGCCAGCAGCCGC
rnacentral:rRNA from 1 species